GGUGCCCCCCCCCCCCCCCCCCCCCCCACAUUUCACAGAGGAGGAUGACGAUGAUGAAGAGUUUGUUUGCAUUCGUGACCAAAAGCUGCCGCCGCUCCACGGCGGGGAAACCAAAGCCGAGCAGGGGGGGGGGGAGAAACAAUCGUGACUUUAUUUAUUCAUUUUAAUAUUUGUAAAUAUUUUUAUAGAUGGGAAGGGGGGCAGGAGGCGUGAUUUCCCUCCUUUGUAAUUCUCUUUUUUUUGUGCAAUGCCGUCGCCAAAAACGCCACGCUUCGUCACUUUUGUGGGAAAAAUCGGGAGUCUGUUGACGCUCACUCCUGGGGAGGGAAUUUUUAAUGAAUUCUGGCCUGUCAGACGUUCACUUUCACCGUAGACUGCGAAUAAGAACGACCACACUACGUUUCCCAGAAUGCAAAGCUCCAUCCGUCAUGUGUUUUCACAGUUCAGAUCAAUCAAGUCGUCUGAACGAUCAGCUGAAAGCGAAACUGAAGGCAGAUCUUUGAGUCAGCUGCUCCGACCAAAGCGGGACGCCACCCGCCCCGAAAAGAGGAACCGCCGAGCUCAUCCAGCCUGAUCAGAGGACGCCGCCGCCGCGUUUCCAUUUUCAGAGCGGUGGAAAUGUCAGCGCAGGAGAGCAGGGAUUUUCUCUGGUUGUUGGUUUGAGUCUGAUGACAUCAUCCGCAGAUGAAAACACUGAGCCGCCCGCCUUCAGGCUCCUCCCUCUUUCCUUUGCUUUUGUUGGACAAACCUUUUCUGAGUGUGGAUCUUCAGGGCGGGAACCUGGCCGUCUCUGCUCAUCAGCAGCAGCAUCUGCUCUGCACUUUGGCCUCUGAAUCAUAAAGUGGCUUUUAUUUCCUACUUUUUUGUUCUGCAGCUGCUCGCCAAAGAAAAACGCCGUCAAUCGUGUCUUCCUGUUGCCUCCAAGCUUCUUCAUUUCACUGUUGCAUCAAACUCCACGUGGUUUUAUUUUACACUGAGAACGCAUCAAAGUGAGCUCUCUUGCAGUUUCUCCUAUCUGUGGUGUUUCGUCUGCACUGUGGACGGUUCUGGAGCCUUUGCAUCGGGAGCUGCAGGACGGUUCUCCGCAGGUUCCUGCAGGUUUUGGUGGAACUUUGGGUUUAUUUUCUGGGAAUCUCAGACUUGACCUUGAGUGAACCCUGGUGGAACGUUCCGGUGAACAGGAGCUCUCACUCCUCUUCAUACUUCAGAGGCACUUCAGCGAAGGAGCGCCGUUUUUUCCCCCCAGAAGCAGAAGUUGGUCAAAGUUGGCGGCUCGGAGUCCGACCAGGAUUUCCAAACGCUCCUUAACGUGACGCUGCAGCUUUCUGCGGCUCACACCCGUGGUGCCUUCACUGCCUGUAAAUCCCAGUUCUGCUUUCUUCACGGUUCAUUCCUGCAUUUUUUAAUCGGCGUUUGUGACGAGGCCUCCGUUUUCGCUCCUCUUUGGCGUGAAUUUGGGAACGUUGGGAGAAACUUAUGUCCUCCUUUGAUGCUUUAUUUAAGAGAAGACAGACAAAGGCUGUAAAUAUUGUUUUAUAAUUUCUGUCUGAAUGAAUUUUGAAAUGAAGAAAGUUGUUAAUAAAGUUGAGAUAUUUUCUCUACGAUGCUUUUGUUCAAUCUUUGUGGUUGAAAUCUGAAGUCUGUCAGGGAUCCAGGAUUUAAACUUUAAUUAAAAAUAGAAAUCAAUAAAUCUGUAAAUAAAAUGAGAUCACAUGAUUUCAAACCCUCAUAGCCUUAAGGUUAGCAACUCCCUCAGUAACAAAUCCUCUUGAAUAUGUAAAAAUGAUUGAACAAUGUCACUUGAUACACUUUAGGCUCAUAGCCCUGACUUCCUUGUCGCCAUGGCAACCAAAACUGCAAAAAGUCGACUUUCUCCUCCGCACACUGUAAAAAAACAUAAAAAUAAUGGUAAAUUAUUGGUACCAAAAAUUAUUCAAGGGGUUUUCUGUUUCCUUAAAACAAUUUCACCAAUUUUGUAGAUCUGAACAUUUCUGCUAGGUGUUGUCCGAUUGGCUCACUGCUUGGAGGCGGGACCCAGAAAACACAGAUGUGACACGGGACGGACUAUUCCAGGUGUUUGAGGUCCUAACUCUCCUACCUGGGGGGGAGAAUUUUGUUCCCCACAUUUAACCCAACCCCCCCAACCUUUUAAUACUGAGUUAAGCAGGGAAGCGGCACCGGAUCCUAUUUUUAGAGUCUGUGGGAUGACCCAACCCACAACCUCCAAGUUUCAGGGCAGACGCUCUACCACGAGGCCACCAAUGCGGUUUAGUACAAAACAUGAGGAUUUUUUCGUCAAACCUCCGAAGCUUAGAAAACUAAAAACCACCAAUCGUAUCAGAGAGCUGUAGUGGUGUCCCCCAUAGAAAAUGGUUUCUUCCGGCUCCAAGCAAAUCGAGUCAAUCCGGACGCCAUUUCUUUGACACGGGCACCGCCAUGUUUGAGCCGGACAGACCAUGUCAGUAAGCAGUGAUUGAUCCGAGUCUGUGUUUCUAUGGCAACCGCUCUCUCCAAUCACCACUUCGUACGUUAGAUUUGGGGGCCAGUAAGCCCCACCUACUUUUAUGAGGCAUCUGGUCAGUUUAUAGCUUGAGCUACAGAAAAAAUAUAAAAUAAAAGAUGUUUAAAAAAAUUAUCAGAUCCAGAACGGUCCUCUGACCAAUAGAGAGACGGAGUAUCAGCUGUUUGUUUCUCUACAGACGUCUGUGGGAUUAUGGCUUCCUGGAGUCUGCCGGAACGCCAGGGGGCGGGGCCACUCACUCCGAUUCUCACACACAGUCGAUAAGAAAAGCCCAAAAAAGGAAGGCGAGGAGGAGGAGUGGAAGUUCCAGAGCGGAGGAAGCAGAAAUCAUUUAUGAUCUGUAGUCAGCUGACUAAUGUGUGUGUGGGGGAGGGGGGUCUUCUUUUACUACUUUAAACUCUGUCAGCAGUUUUUUCUUCUAGAUUUGCUUUUCUAUCUGCUUGUAGUUUUUCCUCAUUUCUGAAUGUGUUCUCCAUCUUUGAAUCUUCCUUUGUCCUAACAAAAUUCUCUGAGGGCCUGAAAAUAAAACCCAGUUGGAACUAAAAGCCACCAUGAUGACACUCCCACCGCCUGCACCGGAACAGGGAGCGACACGCUGAAAGGCCGGGAGCAGAGCCGGAAGUGAGCCGCUUUUGUCUCGGGUUCAAUUCCAAAGUCAUGAAGCCAGUCGCCCCGAUGUGUGAAUGUUUGUUUUAUGGUCCUAUCAGUGCUUCAUUUGGAUCUUCUGAGGAUCAACAAGUGAAAAGGUUGUUGAUCUGAAUCUUUCUAAAAUGUCGACUUCUCCAGCUUGUGGUCGACUGGAGCAGCUGAAGAUCCGGUUCAUGGAACUGAAAGUUAAAGUUGGACAUUUUGAACUCAAAAUAAAUCAAAGGGUUAACUCUGUAUUUUCCGUGUUGUUCCCCCUCCCUGUUGUUGACUCAGAUGAGCAUCUCUUGUGUGAUCAUCGCUCUGAGGACUUUCAUCAGUGACGUGCUUUGACUUCCUGAACAGAUCCAGCCGUUUGGACCAGACCGGGUCUCUGCUGCUGACGCAGUUCUCCUUCGUCGCACACUAACGAGGAUGUGAGGAAAUCUGAGAUUCAGCCGCUGUUGUGCAACAAACAAGCUUUUGAAGACUUGUGAAAACUUUUCUCACAACAAAAGAACCACAAAACUCCAUAGGGUUAACCAAAGAGAUGAGAAAAGUUUGGAAAUAACAGAAGAAAAAGUCUCAUUUCUUUAGGUGAGCAUUUCCAAAUUCACUGCAAGACGUGUUUUCAGAUGAUCUGGAGUGUUUUUUUUUUUACACGCAAUAGUAAUGGAAAGGGUUUCUUUCAAUCGAUCAGAACAAAAAACAUCUUUUUGAUCAACACAGAAACUAAUUUAAAGAAUCCUUCGGCUUUUCAUCAGUAAAAUAACUGCAAUGACAGAUUUACUCAAAGUCUUGAUGCUGAGCUUUAGUUCUACAGCUGGAUCAACAAAUAUCCCUAAAAAAACAUUUGACAAACUUUUAUUUCCUUUAGACCAAAUGGAUCAUCUCACUAAAUGUGAAUAUAUGUUAAAAAAAAAAUUUUUUAUUGACGACAAGAGAUGGAAAAAAAAGUUGUCCACUACAAUUCCCAGAAUCCCGUACUUUAACAUUUGGAGUCUUGAAAAGCCCCAAAUGUCCUCUGCAGAAACCAAAAGGAGUCCAUUCAAUAAUCUGCGGUGGUUGGAGAUGUUCAGGUGUGGAAAUGUCCUCUACAGGGGACACAUUUGUGGUAGGCAGGAGGUAAAAGAACUUUAAGACGUGCCCCAGGAUACCAAUCAAAUCCAGAAUGCUCUUUUUUUAUCUUUAGAAAGAGUUUGCUAUUAGCUCCAUACAUUUUUCUGCACUGGAAACCCUCCAUCCCGUUGUUCCAUUUGUGUCUCUCAAAUAUUCUGGAAUAAGUGCUGCUGGAGGCACCCACGAACGAUUGCAUCGAUCAGGUCAUAUGGCGUGCAAACACCUGCACCACAGACCAUGCAGAAAGGUUUUCAUUAGCAUGAGCUGCAAAAGGCAAGAAAGUGUUCAUGCAAAUGUCAAAUGUGAUCCAAAAUAAAGGCUGUUGCAGAA